UACGGGGGGGGCAAGCGUUGUUCGGAAUUACUGGGCGUAAAGGGCGCGUAGGCGGUCUGCUAAGUUGGAUGUGAAAACUCUGGGCUUAACCCAGAGCCUGCAUUCAAAACUGACAGGCUAGAGUUCUGGAGGGGGAAGCGGAAUUCCUGGUGUAGCGGUGAAAUGCGUAGAUAUCAGGAGGAACACCGGUGGCGAAGGCGGACUUCCCGUGGACAGAAACUGACGCUGGAGGCGCGAAAGCUAGGGGAGCAAACAGGA
rnacentral:rRNA from 1 species